GGGCGCAUAGCUCAGUUGGUUAGAGCACCUGGUUUACACCCAGGGGGUCCCCAGUUCGAGUCUGGGUGUGCCCACCC
rnacentral:tRNA from 1 species